CAUGAUCGCAUGUGAUUGUGGGAAAGAUUUCAUCGGCGUGGGAUGGGGUCGCGUCCUAUCAGCUUGUUGGUGAGGUAACGGCUCACCAAGGCUUCGACGGGUAGCCGGCCUGAGAGGGCGACCGGCCACAUUGGGACUGAGAUACGGCCCAGACUCCUACGGGAGGCAGCAGUGGGGAAUAUUGCACAAUGGGCGCAAGCCUGAUGCAGCGACGCCGCGUGAGGGAUGGAGGCCUUCGGGUUGUAAACCUCUUUUGUUUGGGAGCAAGCCUUCGGGUGAGUGUACCUUUCGAAUAAGCGCCGGCUAACUACGUGCCAGCAGCCGCGGUAAUACGUAGGGCGCAAGCGUUAUCCGGAUUUAUUGGGCGUAAAGGGCUCGUAGGCGGCUCGUCGCGUCCGGUGUGAAAGUCCAUCGCUUAACGGUGGAUCUGCGCCGGGUACGGGCGGGCUGGAGUGCGGUAGGGGAGACUGGAAUUCCCGGUGUAACGGUGGAAUGUGUAGAUAUCGGAAAGAACACCA
rnacentral:rRNA from 1 species